rnacentral:rRNA from 1 species
ACGAAGUCUGACGGAGCACGCCGCGUGAGCGAAGAAGGUCUUCGGAUCGUAAAGCUCUGUUGUCAGGGAAGAACAAGUACCGUUCGAACAGGGCGGUACCUUGACGGUACCUGACGAGGAAGCCACGGCUAACUACGUGCCAGCAGCCGCGGUAAUA